AUAUUUUGAUCGGGAGAUACCAUGAUCAUGAAGGUGGUUUUCCCAAGGUGAGGCUCAUCCAUUGCACUCCUGGGGUGCUGACCCCUGCGAUUUCCCCAAAUGCAGGAAACUCAACUGCAUAAUUUGUGGUAGACUGUGGGAAUGGUGUGGACACAAU